CAAACGGCUCUUUUAAGAGCCACACACACACAUCAAUGAGCAAAUG
rfam:Gasterosteus aculeatus cont1.007319, whole genome shotgun sequence.